rnacentral:rRNA from 1 species
CCUACGGGAGGCAGCAGUGGGAAUAUUGCACAAUGGGCGAAAGCNUGAUGCAGCGACGCCGCGUGGGGGAUGACGGCCUUCGGGUUGUAAACCCCUUUCAGUAGGGAAGAAGCGAAAGUGACGGUACCUGCAGAAGAAGCGCCGGCUAACUACGUGCCAGCAGCCGCGGUAAUACGUAGGGCGCAAGCGUUGUCCGGAAUUAUUGGGCGUAAAGAGCUCGUAGGUGGCUUGUCGCGUCUGCCGUGAAAACCCGAGGCUCAACCUCGGGCGUGCGGUGGGUACGGGCAGGCUAGAGUGUGGUAGGGGAGACUGGAACUCCUGGUGUAGCGGUGAAAUGCGCAGAUAUCAGGAAGAACACCGAUGGCGAAGGCAGGUCUCUGGGCCAUUACUGACACUGAGGAGCGAAAGCAUGGGUAGCGAACAGGAUUAGAUACCCUGGUAGUCCAUGCCGUAAACGUUGGGCACUAGAUGUGGGGGACAUUCCACGUUUUCCGCGUCGUAGCUAACGCAUUAAGUGCCCCGCCUGGGGAGUACGGCCGCAAGGCUAAAACUCAAAUGAAUUGACGGGG